GAUGAACGCUGGCGGCGUGCCUAAUACAUGCAAGUCGAGCGAACGGACGAGAAGCUUGCUUCUCUGAUGUUAGCGGCGGACGGGUGAGUAACACGUGGAUAACCUACCUAUAAGACUGGGAUAACUUCGGGAAACCGUAGCUAAUACCGGAUAAUAUUUUGAACCGCAUGGUUCAAAAGUGAAAGACGGUCUUGCUGUCACUUAUAGAUGGAUCCGCGCUGCAUUAGCUAGUUGGUAAGGUAACGGCUUACCAAGGCAACGAUGCAUAGCCGACCUGAGAGGGGGAUCGGCCACACUGGAACUGAGACACGGUCCAGACUCCUACGGGAGGCAGCAGUAGGGAAUCUUCCGCAAUGGGCGAAAGCCUGACGGAGCAACGCCGCGGGAGUGAUGAAGGUCUGCGGAUCGUAAAACUCUGUUAUUAGGGAAGAACAUAUGUGUAAGUAACGGUGCACAUCUGGAAGGUACCGAAGCAGAAAGCCACGGCUAACUAAGG
rnacentral:rRNA from 1 species